GACACGAUGGCCGAGCGGUUGAGGCGUCAGGUUGCUACCAUGACAUGUGGAUCUUGAUACGGUUUCCGUGCGUGGGUUCAAAUCCCACUCGUGUCU